GUGGAUGUAUCUCAGUGGAAGAGUACUUCUCUAGCAUGGGUGAGGUCCUGGGUUCAAUCCCUAGCACCACA
rfam:Heterocephalus glaber contig103517, whole genome shotgun sequence.